GUCACGCGAACGGCAACGGCUAUUGAUGAGUACCCUCAUCCGCUGGCCUACCUUCACGACGGGAUAGUUGUGUAGGCUGUUUGCGGGUUCCGUUUAGUGUGCUUUGCACACUCGGGCUCGACACUGCGCUACCCCGCAGGUCACCGAUACACGGGUUUCGUGAUCGAUGUUCUCGCUGGUAGCAGGGAUUCGAUCCAACCAGUG
rnacentral:ncRNA from 1 species